GAUGAACGCUGGCGGCGUGCCUAAUACAUGCAAGUCGAGCGAACAGACGAGGAGCUUGCUCCUUUGACGUUAGCGGCGGACGGGUGAGUAACACGUAGGUAACCUACCUAUAAGACUGGGAUAACCUCGGGAAACCGGAGCUAAUACCGGAUAAUAUUUCGAACCGCAUGGUUCGAUAGUGAAAGAUGGCUUUGCUAUCACUUAUAGAUGGACCUGCGCCGUAUUAGCUAGUUGGUAAGGUAACGGCUUACCAAGGCAACGAUACGUAGCCGACCUGAGAGGGUGAUCGGCCACACUGGAACUGAGACACGGUCCAGACUCCUACGGGAGGCAGCAGUAGGGAAUCUUCCGCAAUGGGCGAAAGCCUGACGGAGCAACGCCGCGUGAGUGAUGAAGGUCUUCGGAUCGUAAAACUCUGUUAUUAGGGAAGAACAAACGUGUAAGUAACUGUGCACGUCCUGACGGUACCUAAUCAGAAAGCCACGGCUAACUACGUG
rnacentral:rRNA from 1 species